rnacentral:snRNA from 1 species
CUACCAAUUCAUGGAUAUAUAGA